rnacentral:rRNA from 1 species
GGGUUGUGAGGUUAAGCGACUAAGCGUACACGGUGGAUGCCCUGGCAGUCAGAGGCGAUGAAGGACGUGCUAAUCUGCGAAAAGCGUCGGUAAGGUGAUAUGAACCGUUAUAACCGGCGAUGUCCGAAUGGGGAAACCCAGUGCAAUUCGUUGCACUAUCGUUAACUGAAUACAUAGGUUAACGAGGCGAACCGGGGGAACUGAAACAUCUAAGUACCCCGAGGAAAAGAAAUCAACCGAGAUUCCCCCAGUAGCGGCGAGCGAACGGGGAGCAGCCCAGAGUCUGAAUCAGCUUGUGUGUUAGUGGAACGGUCUGGAAAGUCCGACGGUACAGGGUGAUAGUCCCGUACACCAAAAUGCACAGGUUGUGAACUCGAAGAGUAGGGCGGGACACGUGGUAUCCUGUCUGAAUAUGGGGGGACCAUCCUCCAAGGCUAAAUACUCCUGACUGACCGAUAGUGAACCAGUACCGUGAGGGAAAGGCGAAAAGAACCCCGGCGAGGGGAGUGAAAAAGAACCUGAAACCGUGUACGUACAAGCAGUGGGAGCACCUUCGGGUGUGACUGCGUACCUUUUGUAUAAUGGGUCAGCGACUUAUAUUCUGUAGCAAGGUUAACCGUAUAGGGGAGCCGCAGGGAAACCGAGUCUUAACUGGGCGUUAAGUUGCAGGGUAUAGACCCGAAACCCGGUGAUCUAGCCAUGGGCAGGUUGAAGGUUGGGUAACACUAACUGGAGGACCGAACCGACUAAUGUUGAAAAAUUAGCGGAUGACUUGUGGCUGGGGGUGAAAGGCCAAUCAAACCGGGAGAUAGCUGGUUCUCCCCGAAAGCUAUUUAGGUAGCGCCUCGUGAAUUCAUCUUCGGGGGUAGAGCACUGUUUCGGCUAGGGGGUCAUCCCGACUUACCAACCCGAUGCAAACUACGAAUACCGAAGAAUGUUAUCACGGGAGACACACGGCGGGUGCUAACGUCCGUCGUGAAGAGGGAAACAACCCAGACCGCCAGCUAAGGUCCCAAAGUCAUGGUUAAGUGGGAAACGAUGUGGGAAGGCACAGACAGCCAGGAUGUUGGCUUAGAAGCAGCCAUCAUUUAAAGAAAGCGUAAUAGCUCACUGGUCGAGUCGGCCUGCGCGGAAGAUGUAACGGGGCUAAACCAUGCACCGAAGCUGCGGCAGCGACACUAUGUGUUGUUGGGUAGGGGAGCGUUCUGUAAGCCUGCGAAGGUGGCCUGUGAGGGUUGCUGGAGGUAUCAGAAGUGCGAAUGCUGACAUAAGUAACGAUAAAGCGGGUGAAAAGCCCGCUCGCCGGAAGACCAAGGGUUCCUGUCCAACGUUAAUCGGGGCAGGGUGAGUCGACCCCUAAGGCGAGGCCGAAAGGCGUAGUCGAUGGGAAACAGGUUAAUAUUCCUGUACUUGGUGUUACUGCGAAGGGGGGACGGAGAAGGCUAUGUUAGCCGGGCGACGGUUGUCCCGGUUUAAGCAUGUAGGCUGGUUAUCCAGGCAAAUCCGGAUAAUCAAGGCUGAGGUGUGAUGACGAGGCACUACGGUGCUGAAGUAACAAAUGCCCUGCUUCCAGGAAAAGCCUCUAAGCAUCAGGUAACAUUAAAUCGUACCCCAAACCGACACAGGUGGUCAGGUAGAGAAUACCAAGGCGCUUGAGAGAACUCGGGUGAAGGAACUAGGCAAAAUGGUGCCGUAACUUCGGGAGAAGGCACGCUGGUGUGUAGGUGAAGUCCCUGCGGAUGGAGCUGAGACCAGUCGAAGAUACCAGCUGGCUGCAACUGUUUAUUAAAAACACAGCACUGUGCAAACACGAAAGUGGACGUAUACGGUGUGACGCCUGCCCGGUGCCGGAAGGUUAAUUGAUGGGGUUAUCCGUAAGGAGAAGCUCUUGAUCGAAGCCCCGGUAAACGGCGGCCGUAACUAUAACGGUCCUAAGGUAGCGAAAUUCCUUGUCGGGUAAGUUCCGACCUGCACGAAUGGCGUAAUGAUGGCCAGGCUGUCUCCACCCGAGACUCAGUGAAAUUGAACUCGCUGUGAAGAUGCAGUGUACCCGCGGCAAGACGGAAAGACCCCGUGAACCUUUACUAUAGCUUGACACUGAACAUUGAGCCUUGAUGUGUAGGAUAGGUGGGAGGCUUUGAAGCGUGGACGCCAGUCUGCGUGGAGCCAACCUUGAAAUACCACCCUUUAAUGUUUGAUGUUCUAACGUUGGCCCCUGACCGGGGUUGCGGACAGUGUCUGGUGGGUAGUUUGACUGGGGCGGUCUCCUCCCAAAGCGUAACGGAGGAGCACGAAGGUUAGCUAAUCCUGGUCGGACAUCAGGAGGUUAGUGCAAUGGCAUAAGCUAGCUUGACUGCGAGCGUGACGGCGCGAGCAGGUGCGAAAGCAGGUCAUAGUGAUCCGGUGGUUCUGAAUGGAAGGGCCAUCGCUCAACGGAUAAAAGGUACUCCGGGGAUAACAGGCUGAUACCGCCCAAGAGUUCAUAUCGACGGCGGUGUUUGGCACCUCGAUGUCGGCUCAUCACAUCCUGGGGCUGAAGUAGGUCCCAAGGGUAUGGCUGUUCGCCAUUUAAAGUGGUACGCGAGCUGGGUUUAGAACGUCGUGAGACAGUUCGGUCCCUAUCUGCCGUGGGCGCUGGAGAAUUGAGGGGGGCUGCUCCUAGUACGAGAGGACCGGAGUGGACGCAUCACUGGUGUUCGGGUUGUCAUGCCAAUGGCACUGCCCGGUAGCUAAAUGCGGAAGAGAUAAGUGCUGAAAGCAUCUAAGCACGAAACUUGCCCCGAGAUGAGUUCUCCCUGAGACUUUAAGUCUCCUGAAGGAACGUUGAAGACGACGACGUUGAUAGGCCGGGUGUGUAAGCGCAGCGAUGCGUUGAGCUAACCGGUACUAAUGAACCGUGAGGCUUAACCUUACAACGCCGAAG